CCUACGGGGGGCAGCAGUGGGGAAUAUUGGACAAUGGGGGGAACCCUGAUCCAGCCAUGCCGCGUGUGUGAAGAAGGCCCUCGGGUUGUAAAGCACUUUCAGUGAGGAAGAACGCCUGGUGGUUAAUACCCAUCAGGAAAGACAUCACUCACAGAAGAAGCACCGGCUAACUCCGUGGCCAGCAGCCGCGGUAAUACGGAGGGUGCGAGCGUUAAUCGGAAUUACUGGGCGUAAAGCGCGCGUAGGUGGCUUGAUAAGCCGGUUGUGAAAGCCCCGGGCUCAACCUGGGAACGGCAUCCGGAACUGUCAAGCUAGAGUGAAGGAGAGGAAGGUAGAAUUCCCGGUGUAGCGGUGAAAUGCGUAGGGAUCGGGAGGAAUACCAGUGGCGAGGGCGGCCUUCUGGACUGAACCUGACACUGAGGUGCGAAAGCGUGGGUAGCAAACAGGAUAAGAUACCCUGUAGUC
rnacentral:rRNA from 1 species